GUCCAGUGUCUCCUCCGCCGACCGCGUCCUUCGGCAGUGUUGUGUUUGUUUUUAGUGUGAAAACACCCUCAACGAAACACGAACGUUCGGGAAAUCUGCGAGUUGGUCUUAGUGGAGUUUGUCGGAGUUUGUAAGAAGUUGUGCUAGUUGUUGGGAGACAGAACCGAGGAGGAGGAGAAAUGUUGCUGGUGUUGUUUUGAACCAGCUCCAUUUUCCUCCGGAGAGAGCGGGGGGAGACAGAAGAUAGACAGUAGAAGGAAAGGAGAGAUGGCCGAAGCGCGGACAGACGAGGAAGAGGAGGGUGGACUGGAGACGUCGGAAGAACCAGUGGUUCGCCGACAACCGAGGCCAGGCGCCGGUGGAGGUAAGCUGACACAUUCCGGUAGGCUACUAGUGUUGAAUCGGUCUCCUUCGUGUUUUCCUGAAAGUCCGUCAAACUAGACAGAGUGGAGUAAUAUAGUAUUGUGAUGUAGUGUUUGGUUGGUAACGUUGAACUUCCUCGGCCCCGACCUCUUCGUGUUUGUUUGGGGGCUUCACUCCAGCGAGUGCACCUGCCUGUGCAGGUGACUCUAAAACCAUAAAUUAUGGCGUGAACACGUCAUCACACGCACAAAGGUGUGUCCAACUUUAAAAAAAAAAAAAGUGCAGACAAACAUGGUACAUGGAGGAAGGCACUAGUAGCAUAGCAGAGGGUGGUUGUCCUGGGCAACUACCAGUACAACCAGUACCAGACUGUGGUUGUACUGGUAAGCUCCAAGUGUCCACCAGAAUGAGACUCUUCUUGUACUUGACAGCUCCAAGUUUCCACCAGUAGAAGACUGUUGCUGUUCUGGCCAGCGGCCAGUAUAACUCAAACAAUGUGGAAUGUUAAUGAUAGAACGGUGUGUUUUGAACGCCGCUCUAACAGUGAAACAGCUGUGAACGCAUAUGGAAUUGAUGAAAUGCAUGAUGACUUCAGCACAACUCCAGCACAGCAAAUCAGAGCCUGACUUCCUUAUUCCUCCCACCAAUCGCAGCACUGCCAGCGUGGGAGACUCUGGGAGAGGGAUGCAGUCAUGUUGUUUUAAGAGAGAGAGAGAGAGAGAGAGAGAGAGACACGACCACGACCAAUCAGAAGAUCAGGGAGCAGAGAGGGGCUCUAGGGAGAGGCGGACGACACGUUGCUGUGGUCUUGUGGAGUUUGGGAGUUUCUGCUUGUUGCUGUGCUUUUAGCUUUUAGCUCGUACGAGAGAUCGCCCUAACAGACGUAAGCCAGAACAUCGUCACAGGAAACGUGGAUGCUUAAGAGUUCAAAGUGGGGCAACCUUUACUGAUGUGGAUGUUUGCAUCAAGUGUUUCUGUCUCUUAUUGUGUGGUGUGUAUAUCCAUUUGUUUGGAGUGUAGUAGUAGAGCAGUAGUUAGUCCCUGUAGGCCUUUGACUUCACUCUUCCUCUAUUUAAAGUCAUCCGGCUGUCUUUUGGUCUGCUUGACGACCGGCUGGAGAGGGUCUGUUGUGUGUGUGAGGUCAUUGUUUGUGUAAUGGUGGUGGAGGAAGAGGAGGUGGUGGUUUUAUGUUCUCCUAAAAAGCCGAUCCGCGUCGAAGAAAAGACAGAACGUUUAGAAAAGGAAGAAGAAGGAUUAAUGUGUGAUAAACAUGUGCGGCAUUGUCAUGUAGUAGUUAUUACUUUUCCUUUGGUAGCGGGGGUGAACGUAAUCUGGAACAACUAAAUGAAUCAUCUCCAUUUCCUCCCUCUUCAAUUUCCUAAGGAGAGGGUGAGAUGGAGGUUAAAUGUGACUUCUCUUGUUUCUGAUGUCUCUCUCUCUCUCUCUCUCUCUCUCUCUCUCUCUCUCUCUCUCUCUCUCUCUCUCUCUCUCUCUCUCUCUCU
ensembl:lncRNA